UGGGGGAUAUUGCACAAUGGGCGAAAGCCAGAUGCAGCGACGCCGCGUGGGGGAUGAAGGCUUUCGGGUUGUAAACCUCUUUCGCUAUCGAACAAGGCCCGCUUAGGGUGGGUUGAGGGUAGGUGGAGAAGAAGCGCCGGCUAACUACGUGCCAGCAGCCGCGGUAAUACGUAGGGCGCGAGCGUUGUCCGGCAUUAUUGGGCGUAAAGGGCUUGUAGGCGGCUUGUUGCGCCUGCUGUGAAAACGCGGGGCUUAACUUCGCGCGUGCAGUGGGUACGGGCAGGCUUGAGUGUGGUAGGGGUGACUGGAAUUCCAGGUGUAGCGGUGGAAUGCGCAGAUAUCUGGAGGAACACCGAUGGCGAAGGCAGGUCACUGGGCCAUUACUGACGCUGAGGAGCGAAAGCAUGGGUAGCGAACAGG
rnacentral:rRNA from 1 species